rnacentral:rRNA from 1 species
AACGAACGCUGGCGGCGUGGCUAAGGCAUGCAAGUCGAACGGAUCUAUCCAACGGGUAACUGAAGGGUAGAUUAGUGGCGAACGGGUGAGGAAUACAUGGACAACGUACCCUGGACACGGGGAUAGCGGCGGGCCGCAAGGCUCUUUAGCGAAAGUGCCGGUAAUACCCGAUGAUCCCGCAUGGUCGCAUGAUCGUGUGGGCAAAGCUCCGACGGUCUGGGAUCGGUUCAUGCCCUAUCAGCUAGUUGGUGAGGUAACGGCUCACCAAGGCGGCGACGGGUACCGGGCGUGAGAGCGUGACCCGGCACAUCGGAACUGAGAUACGGU